CGGAUGAACGCUGGCGGCGUGCUUAACACAUGCAAGUCGAACGGAGAAAGGGUAGCUUGCUAUCUUUCUUAGUGGCGGACGGGUGAGUAACGCGUGGGUAACCUGCCCUUUGCAGGGGGAUAACAGUGAGAAAUCACUGCUAAUACCGCAUACCAACUUCUUUCGCAUGAAAGAAGUUUGAAAGAUUUAUCGGCAAAGGAUGGACCCGCGUUGGAUUAGCUAGUUGGUGAGAUAACAGCCCACCAAGGCAACGAUCCAUAGCCGGCCUGAGAGGGUGAACGGCCACACUGGGACUGAGACACGGCCCAGACUCCUACGGGAGGCAGCAGUGGGGAAUAUUGCACAAUGGGCGAAAGCCUGAUGCAGCGACGCCGCGUGAAGGAUGAAGGUCUUCGGAUUGUAAACUUCUAUCAGCAGGGAAGAAAGGGCUUAUAGCCUAUGACGGUACCUGACUAAGAAGCCCCGGCUAACUACGUG
rnacentral:rRNA from 1 species